GACAGCAAAAUUCAUCCACAAAGAGGUUCUUCACAUGAUCGACGACUAGAGGGCACUGUUGCUCUUGAUUAUCAACUAUCAAUCAACAGGUGCAGUCGAAACGCUAUUGAUUCUCCUGAGCGUAACGGCUCAAGCAUAUCUGCAGAUUAGCAUCCAUGUUCAUUUGAGGUCAAACGAUAUAUUACAAUUACAGACAAACCUGACACACCAAACUCAAGUGCAGAAGGCUGGCUAAAACCUGCACAGGUGUUAACUUGAACCACAGCAUGAAACGGAGCAGAGAAAGAUCCACUUUCUGAAUAAAUCAAGUAGAAGCAAUAUCCAGCAUGUGUAGAGAGAUGGACGGGAGCCCAUGUAAUAUUAAAAGCGCCGUGUCUGGCAACGCAAGUGGUGCCACUCCUUUCAUUGCUCCUGCUCCCUCCACUACCCGGCCACUGGCUCUUCUCUCAAGGUGACACUUCAAAGCACCAACGCAGACGUGGAAGGCCUGGCUGCCAGCAUGGAGCCAGCACAACCCUCCUCCACCCCCUUCCUCAAACGCGCUUGCUACCCCCGCUGGGCCAGGUCAACGCCAAGAAUCCACACCGCUUGCCACUCGGGAACCCUUGUCAAAAUCUGCUUCGUAUCCUUAAUUAAUAACACUCCUUUCCUAUUGCAAACACAAGGGGGGAGAGAGUGCCUGUCUGGAGUCCACUGGCACUGUUCCUUACUGGAGUCUCCAUUCCGACAAAGAGACUUGCUGGAAAUGAAGGAGGAUGCCCCUCAUCAAGACUCAACCAGAGGAACAUGCAUUUGUGAACGUUCAAGGGGGUACUUUCAAUUUCGGCUCCCCAAGAGCUGAAAAAUGCAGCAAACAGAGGAGAGUUACGCUAAUGUAGUCUGUUUGAAGAUGCUCCUAAGACGGGAUCCCAAGUGAAAGGAAGAUGUUUUCUUCUGUUCUCACAAUACAUCUGAUCUGUCAGUGAAGAAAAGGCAACAUGACAGCACUGUUUGCACAAGCUCAUCCCGUGCCAUUUCAUCCUGCGCUGCAAGACAUGCAUGCAAAUAGCCGC